rnacentral:rRNA from 1 species
AUUGAACGCUGGCGGCAGGCCUAACACAUGCAAGUCGAACGGGUGGCGGACGGGUGAGUAAUGUCUGGGAAACUGCCCGCUGGAGGGGGAUAACUACUGGAAACGGUAGCUCAUACCGCCUACCGUCGGAUCUGCCCAGAUGGGAUUAGGUUGUAGGGGAGGUAACGGCGCACCGAGGCGACGGUACCUAGCUGGUCUGAGAGGACAACCAGCCACACGGGAACGGAGCCACGGUCCAGACUCCUACGGGAGGCAGCAGUGGGGAAUAUUGCACAAUGGGCGCAAGCCUGAUACAGCCAUGCCGCGUGGGUGAAGAAGGCCUUCGGGUUGUAAAGCCCUUUUGGUGGGGAGGCGGUACCCAAAGAAUAAGCACCGGCUAACUUCGUGCCAGCAGCCGCGGUAAUAC